UCCUUCGGGUGAGAAGAUUAUAUCGUGGGAUAUCCCUUUGAUGAUGAAUUGUCUAUAAACCCUUCCCGCCAUUCGCAACGCCCUCGAGACUGAGACGGACAAUGGAGGAGAACGCCUGUAAAGAAAUUCAAAUCCGAACCCUUUCGGGCGAAUCCAUCGCUCUUCGCUUCCCUUCCAGCAGCACCGUUCGAGAACUCAAGCUUCUACUCAACCAAUCCUUCCCUCCUGCCACUCACUUCCCCAAUUUCCACCUUUUCUUCAAGGGUGACAAAUUGAGAUUGCAGAGUCAAAUUGGCUGUUACCCCAUCGAGACCGGUGACUUCCUUGUUUUAGUUCCGUUUACCAAGAAACCAAACCAAUGUGAUGCUUCUGCAACUCCCUCCAAUGUUGCUGAUACAGCUUCAAUUUCAAAUCUUGCUGAUUCUACCUGGUCCAAUAUAAUGGAGGAUAUAUCAUAUUUACGUGAGACUCAGAGCGACGCUAAAAAUGACGAUGAAGCAUCUCAUUUAAAGUUCAACAGUUUUACUGAUGAACGUAGGAAAAAGAAGAUGGCGGAGACCCCUAGUUCUAAUUGCACCGAGUCAAAAUCCAAGUGGGAUUUUGGUUCUGAUAAGCAGAUAGAGCUUCCUUAUCACCUUAUAUUGAAUACACUGCAGUAUACUAGUGAGACUGAGGAUGCUCUUGGAGAACGCAAUUGUGAAGUCCUUGCCAAGGUUUUGGCUUCGAUAACUUGUUUAUCAGAUCUGCCUCUUGGGCAUUGCAAGUUAUUUAAGAGAGCCCGUCUGAAGGGAGUGGAUUUGGGGUCUUACGUGAAUAAUGAUAUUUCAUGCUUGUGUCCCCAAUGGUUGAAGAUGGUGAUGAAGGCGUUUACUUUCAUAAAUAUUUUUUCUGCGUGGCUUCAUUUACUGGGUAAGAAAACAACUUCAAAUCUAUUGGAAAAUGCACUGAAUCAGCUUGGAAAAUUUGGAGUUAAACUUAAUAUUCAGGAUAUGAAGCGUCUUUCCCUUCUUUGUCCCGAGCUAAUAUGUUUUACGGAUGAUAUCGAAAAGACAAGUUAUGAUGAUGUCAUGAUCAUCAUUGAACAUUCAACAAGAGAUGAAGUUAACAAAAAGGAUACACCAAAAAGAGGUCGCAAGUUGUUGCUUGUUUCAAAGAUUGCCAGUGCAUUGAAGAGAAGGGAAAGUUUCUUUCAAAACAAUCUGUGGCUGGCAUUUUCAGGGCUGCUGAGUGCUUGUGGAGAUGAGAUGGCCUUGAAAAUUUCCUUGGAAGAUUUGAUUGCAUCCAUCAAGGACCAAUGUUCUACUCAAAAUGAAAGAACAGCAAGACCCAUAAAGAGAAGCUUGAAUAAUUCAAAAUGUGAUUCAGAUUGUGUGAAGUGUCAUGAAACAUCAUCUUUGCUUCCCAUGGAAGUGGUUGAACAUCUUCAAAAAGGAAUUGGAUCUGAAGGACAGAUUGUGCACAUUGAAGACAUUUCCGCCAGGAAAGCAAUUUAUGCAGAACUUGAAUUAUCAGAAAACCUGAAAUCUGCACUACGUCAAAUGGGAAUUUCCAAAUUGUAUAGCCAUCAGGCAGAGUCUAUAAAAGCAUCCUUUUCCGGGAAGAAUGUUGUCGUGUCAACUAUGACAUCCAGUGGCAAAUCACUAUGUUAUAACUUGCCAGUCUUGGAAUGGCUGUCAAAGAAUCAAUCAUCAUGUGCUCUGUACAUAUUCCCAACAAAGGCAUUGGCUCAAGAUCAAUUAAGAGCUUUGCUACAUAUGACAAAAGUAUUGGAUGUUGACUUCAAUAUUGGUAUAUAUGAUGGAGAUACUUCUCAGAAUGAGAGGACAUGGCUACUUGAUAAUUCUAGGCUGUUGAUCACAAAUCCAGAUAUGUUGCACAUAUCCAUCUUGCCUCAUCAUCAGAGAUUUUGUCGGAUUUUAUCAAAUCUCAGGUUUGUAGUAAUAGACGAGACUCAUACUUACAAGGGAGCAUUUGGAUGUCAUACUGCUUUUAUAUUAAGGAGGCUGAAGCGACUCUGUUCACAUGUAUAUGGAACUGUUCCAUCUUUUGUUUUUUCUACUGCAACCUCUGCAAAUCCUCGUGAGCACUGUAUGGAACUUGCAAAUUUAUCAACAGUGGAGCUGGUUAGGAAUGAUGGCAGUCCAUCUGCGAGGAAGCUUUUUAUCCUUUGGAAUCCCAUUCUGCGCCCAAAACCUUUCUUGAAAAGAGCUAAGUUUGUUAUGGCUGUUGAUGAAGUUGCUGAUGAAAGUGCUACUUUUGUUCGUUCAAGUUCAAUUGUGGAUGUUUCACGACUUUUCGCGGAAAUGGUUCAGCAUGGUCUUCGUUGCAUAACAUUUUGCAGAUCACGGAAACUUUGUGAACUUGUUCUAUCCUAUGCACAGGAGAUCCUCCAUGAGACAGCCCCACAUCUGGUAAAUUUGAUAUGCGCAUAUCGUGGAGGCUACAUUGCAGAGGAUAGGAGAAAAAUAGAGAGUGGAUUUUUUGGGGGUAAAAUUUGCGGUGUUGUUGCAACCAAUGCUCUUGAGUUGGGCAUUGAUGUCGGAGAAAUUGAUGUGACCCUGCAUUUAGGAUUUCCUGGUAGUAUUGCUAGCUUGUGGCAACAGGCUGGCAGGGCUGGAAGGAGAGAUAAACCAUCUCUUGCUGUGUAUGUUGCAUUUGGAGAUCCCCUUGAUCAAUACUUUAUGAAGCAUCCAGAAAAACUGUUUGGUAGACCAAUUGAAUGCUGCUAUGUUGAUGCCCAAAACAAGCAGGUUCUGGAACAGCAUUUGGUCUGUGCAGCUCACGAACACCCUUUGAGUGUGCCUUAUGAUGAACAGUAUUUUGGUUUUUGCUUAGAGAGUUCUUUAGUUUCUUUAAAAGCUGGAGGAUACUUGAGUUACGAGCAAUCAUCAGAUUCUUCUACUAGAAUAUGGAAUUACAUUGGUCCUCAGAAAUUGCCUUCACAUGCUGUCAACAUCAGAGCAAUAGAAACCAUAAGAUAUGAGGUCGUGGAUCAGCAGAGGAAAAAAGUCCUUGAAGAGAUAGAGGAGAGCAAGGCUUUUUUUCAGAUUUAUGAAGGGGCUGUGUACCUGUGCCAAGGUAAAACCUAUUUGGUCGAGAAAUUGGACCUAUCCAACAAGGUUGCUUUCUGCAAAGAGGCUGAUUUGAAGUAUUAUACUAAGACUCGAGAUUACACUGACAUUCAUGUCAUUGGGGGUAAUAUAGCUUAUCCAGUAAAGAUUUCGACUGAUGUGUUUCCAAAAACAAAUGCUCGUGCUGAUUUGUGCAAAGUAACAACUACUUGGUUUGGUUUUUAUCGUAUUUGGAGAGGAAGCAAUCAAAUAUUUGAUUCUGUUGACCUAUCACUUCCUCAAUAUUCAUACGAGUCACAGGCGGUUUGGAUUCCUGUGCCACAAUCAAUAAAAGAAGCAGUAGUCAAGCAAACCUAUGAUUUUCGUGGAGGUCUGCAUGCUGCAUCACAUGCAGUUUUAAAUGUACAUAACAUGCAACUUGUCUGACUUGGCUCCAGAGUGUCCGAAUCCUCAUGAUCGCCGUUAUCAACCAGAGAGAAUUCUAAUAUAUGAUCAACAUCCUGGAGGAUCUGGUUUAUCGUUACAGGUAAUUGACAUUAAACUUUAGUCUAAUGAUGGAGUUUGUAUUUUGCUUCUUUUAUCUUUUUCCAAACAUUUUUCUUAAUUCUUUUUUGUUAUGGUGGUUUUGGCCUUUGGAUGAUAAUUUGAUGUUUUAAAUAGGAUCUGAAUCAGCAAGUAAAUGCGUAGCGUGAUACGUUUAGAAAGAGAGAGAGAGAGAAUAGGUAGUCGAUGGAAAGAAAGGAUGUGGACCCCACACAUGCCUCUAUUUUGUUGCCACUCAAAUUAAUGCAGGGUGCAUUACUGUGGAAGACUGCAUGUAUUUUUAACGAUCUUCCUAUGUGCCAUUUAGGGACGUCCUUUCUAGUUUGUGUCAAUAUGAUGAAAUGUUUGAUAGGUCCAACGUUGUUUCCCGAAGUUGUUGGCAGCUGCACUAGAGCUUCUUUCAUCUUGCCAUUGCUCAGUGGAAGUGGGUUGUCCUGACUGUGCUCAGGUUUAUCGCAAAACUUUUCUUUAAUUCUGUCUUUCCUGCUUAUUCUGGUUGAAAUACUAGGCUAGUUUUGAUUAAGAAGAAAAAUAGUAGGCUGUGAAAUAUAUCAAACUAAAUUUACCAAGCUUCACAAGCAAAUUUUAUAUAAAUUUUUUGGCAUGUUAUAGAGCUUUGCUUGCCAAGAGUAUAAUGAAGUUUUACACAAGGAUGCAGCCAUUAUGAUCAUCAAGGGUGUUCUGGAUACAGAAUAGUAUUCGGAGGACUUCACCGGUUCUUCUGAAGUCUGUAUAAAGAAGUCCCGUUGGGUUGCGAUGAUAUAUUGGCUGAGUAUCUAAAUGGGUUCUCAAGCUCGUCCCAGUGUUUUUUUUUUUGUUUUUUGUUUUUUUGGGGGGGGGGGGGGGGGGCAUGCAAUUUAGUAGUUGUGUGCUAAAGUGAACAUUGUUUCAUUUCCUACUGCACCAAACUUAGCAUGAUCCUGUCAACCUUGAGAAUGAAAUGCAAACCCAACAUAUACCCUCCUUUUUUUCUCAUCACAAAAGAGAGAGGAUAAACGGUUUUCAGCUAGAAAUGUGCCUAAAUAAACUCGCUUCUCAGAAGCUUGCUGC